CAGAUUAUUACUAUUAAAAUUCAUGAAAGAGGCGUUAUGGCUUAUGGUGUGGUGAACAUGUUGACCGUGGGCGUCACUGCAGUCCUCACAUGUUGCUUUCUAUUUUUGAAGUAGAUUUUCACGGCCUGAGACACUGCUGCCCAGUCCAGAUGUCUGUGGAUCCUUUGACCUCAGCGAGAGCUGGAUGUCUGUACUUCAGGCUCAAAGAGUCAUGAACGGACACUUUGUUGAGGAUCAGCAUGUGACUCGAGGGAUGAUGAGAUCAUGGGAGGGAUGAUGGAGAUGAAUGAAUGAGGGACUCACGAUAAUGAUAGUGCAGGUGAUGGUGACCGCAGCCAGCGUCACGUGCGUGAUGGUGUCCGUUCUAACAGGGUAA